rnacentral:rRNA from 1 species
GGACCAAGGAGUCUAACAUCUACGCGAGUGUUCGGGUGGCAAACCCGUGCGCGCAGUGAAAGCGAACGGAGGUGGGAGCCCCCCCGAGGGGCGCACCAUCGACCGAUCCUGAUGUCUUCGGAUGGAUUUGAGUAGGAGCGUAGCUGUGGGGACCCGAAAGAUGGUGAACUAUGCCUGAAUAGGGCGAAGCCAGAGGAAACUCUGGUGGAGGCUCGCAGCGGUUCUGACGUGCAAAUCGAUCGUCAAAUUUGGGUAUAGGGGCGAAAGACUAAUCGAACCAUCUGGUAGCUGGUUCCUGCCGAAGUUUCCCUCAGGAUAGCAGUAACGCGAAAUCAGUUUUAUGAGGUAAAGCGAAUGAUUAGAGGCAUUGGGGUUGAAACAACCUUAACCUAUUCUCAAACUUUAAAUAUGUAAGAAGCCCUUGUUUCUUAAGUGAACGUGGGCAUUAGAAUGGAGCGUUACUAGUGGGCCAUUUUUGGUAAGCAGAACUGGCGAUGCGGGAUGAACCGAACGCGAGGUUAAGGUGCCGGAAUACACGCUCAUCAGACACCACAAAAGGUGUUAGUUCAUCUAGACAGCCCGACGGUGGCCAUGGAAGUCGGA